GAUGAACGCUGGCGGCGUGCCUAAUACAUGCAAGUCGAGCGAACAGACGAGGAGCUUGCUCCUCUGACGUUAGCGGCGGACGGGUGAGUAACACGUGGAUAACCUACCUAUAAGACUGGGAUAACUUAGGGAAACCGGAGCUAAUACCGGAUAAUAUAUUGAACCGCAUGGUUCAAUAGUGAAAGACGGUUUUGCUGUCACUUAUAGCUGGACCCGCGCCGCAUUAGCUAGUUGGUAAGGUAACGGCUUACCAAGGCAACGAUGCGUAGCCGACCUGAAAGGGUGAUCGGACACACUGGAACUGAGACACGGUCCAGACUCCUACGGGAGGCAGCAGUAGGGAAUCUUCCGCAAUGGACGAAAGCCUGACAGAGCAACGCCGCGUGAGUGAUGAAGGUCUUCGGAUCGUAAAACUCUGUUAUUAGGAGAGUAGAAAUGUGUAAGUAACUAUGCACGUCUUGACGGUACCUAGUCAGAAAGCCACGGCUAACUACGUG
rnacentral:rRNA from 1 species